rnacentral:rRNA from 1 species
UACGUAGGGUGCGAGCGUUGCCCGGAUUUAUUGGGCGUAAAGGGCGCGUAGGCGGUCACGCACGUCCGUUGUGAAAUCGCUCGGCUCAACCGGGCGGGGUCAGCGGAUACGGCGUGGCUGGAGCAAGCUAGGGGGCAAUGGAAUUCCCGGUGUAGUGGUGGAAUGCGUAGAUAUCGGGAGGAACACCAGUGGCGAAGGCGGUUGCCUGGAGCUUUGCUGACGCUGAUGCGCGAAAGCGUGGGGAGCGAUCCGG